UCCUAGUGACUGUCUCCACGUCUCUGCUGAAACAACGUGACUGAGAGGGCAGCAGGAGAGAGCCUACACAGAGCACCCCGAGACCACCCCUCCGGAGAAGCAAAGUUCACCCUCACCUCGCCUGCCAUUGCUGACGAUGUUCUGCUCCUCUGCGCAGCGAUCCCGCAACUGGUGCGACCUGUGGAACAGCGCAGUGAGUUUGGCAGGGCUCUGCAUCACUCAGCACUGGCCUUGAGCAACAAUGCCAGACAUUUCCUGCUGGGAGCAAGAGAAAAUCUAUUCAGCUGAGGCUUCUG